rnacentral:rRNA from 1 species
AUUGAACGCUGGCGGCAGGCCUAACACAUGCAAGUCGAACGGUAGCACAGGAGAGCUUGCUCUCUGGGUGACGAGUGGCGGACGGGUGAGUAAUGCAUGGGGAGCUGCCCAAUCGAGGGGGAUACCAGCUGGAAACGGCUGCUAAUACCGCAUACGCCCUGAGGGGGAAAGGUGGGGACCUUCGGGCCUACCGCGAUUGGAUGCACCCAUGUGGGAUUAGCUGGUUGGUGAGGUAACGGCUCACCAAGGCGACGAUCUCUAGCUGGUCUGAGAGGAUGACCAGCCACACUGGAACUGAGACACGGUCCAGACUCCUACGGGAGGCAGCAGUGGGGAAUAUUGCACAAUGGGGGAAACCCUGAUGCAGCCAUGCCGCGUGUGUGAAGAAGGCCUUCGGGUUGUAAAGCACUUUCAGUGGGGAGGAAGGGGCGAUGCCUAAUACGCAUUGUCAUUGACGUUACCCACAGAAGAAGCACCGGCUAACUCCGUGCCAGCCGCCGCCGUAAUAC